rnacentral:rRNA from 1 species
GACGAACGCUGGCGGCGUGCUUAACACAUGCAAGUCGAACGCUGAAGCCCAGCUUGCUGGGUGGAUGAGUGGCGAACGGGUGAGUAACACGUGAGUAACCUGCCCCCUUCUUUGGGAUAACGCCCGGAAACGGGUGCUAAUACUGGAUAUUCACUGGCCUUCGCAUGGGGGUUGGUGGAAAGGUUUUUUCUGGUGGGGGAUGGGCUCGCGGCCUAUCAGCUUGUUGGUGGGGUGAUGGCCUACCAAGGCUUUGACGGGUAUCCGGCCUGAAAGGGUGACCGGUCACAUUGUGACUGAGAUACGGCCCAGACUCCUACUGUAGUUAGCUGUGGGGAAUAUUGCACUGUGGGCUAAAGCCUGAUGCACCGACGCCGCGUGAGGGAUGACGGCCUUCGGGUUAAAACCUCUUCUUUAUGGUCAAGUCGCAGCUUGGGUUUGUGGUGAUGAAGUGGGUUAAAGUGCUGCUGAUUCUUCCUUCUACUGCCAGACUGAAAUUUAAUGGUCGAUCAUCUUAGUAUUGUAGCGCUGAUAUUAGUUAUUUAUUGUUGACCUUCCACUCUGUGAUACCUCUUCACGUCUGGUGACGGUGUGUGAUUCUCAUUCAUUUGUGUUCAUUGAUGUAUAUAUGCUGCUUUAGUCUGUGCUUUGGCAUCUCACUUCUGCUUGAUAAUACGUGUUGUAUGUGGUGUAUUGAUGUUCUGUUGUAGUGUGGUUAUGUACCUGUUGUACACUUUGAAUGUUGAUAUGACCUGUACCUCUGAUGACUACUCCCCCUGUUUUGCCCUUUUGUCUUGCGUGUGUGAAAGAGAUAAAAGUAGAGAAAUAUGUCACGUGCCACCCUGUCUGUUUCCCUCAUGUACAUGUACAGUAUA